GGCUGCGAACAGCCGAGUAGAUGUUUUAGCUGAAAUGUCCCCGAACCCUCUUCCAUCCAGUCUCCCCACUGCGCCUGCAUGAUCUCUUCAGAGUCAAACAAUGGAUGCUCUGGUCCAGCCUCCUUGCCCGGCUCUACCCUCUCCAGGUCUUUCCUACCUGUUGCUCCCCUCAUUCUGAGCCCUACCACUAGGCGGGGUCCCUUGAGCCCCAAGGGGCCCAGCUUCAUCCUCCUAGGGCCUCACAAAUGCCUACUAGGCCCCCGGGGCGUGCUCCAACUUCACUUCCCCAGGCAGCCUCCCCAGCUCAAGGCUGGGUCAGCCUGCUGCCCCUGUGCUCCCUUCUGAACAUGGUCUUCCCUAUGAACCUCCUGCCUCACUUCUCAGAGUGUGAUGAUGCACGGCAGAGGCCACAGGAGAUCCCAUGUGUGUCCCCCUCCGUCCCCCUCCAGCCUCCCCUUGGCUGCCGGCCACCUAGGCACAGAAGUCCUGUCUGUUUCACUUCCUGUUUCCUCCUGCUCCUACGAGGGAGGCACUCAGCCCGACUCUGUUGAAUGAGACAGGAGGAUAAUAAGUUUGUGCUGCUUGAGGCUGCCAGGUUGGGGUGAGACCUCAGAGCAGCAAGAAACACAUGCAUGCAGGAACGUGGGGCCGCCGCCUUCUAGCCAUGACUGGCUCCAAGCCUGGGGCCACCACAGGAGGGUCACGUUGGAGGAGCCCCAAGGAACAGAGCUGUGAGAGUCACCCCGGAAGAGGAGCACAGCCUGCAGCCUACGACAGAGCCAGCUGAGGCGGCCUCGCAGGAAGGAGCCGGGAGGCUCAGCGCCUGGCCCCAGCCUGCCCCUGCCCCUGGUCUCCUUCUGGGGUUCCCCAGGGGCUAGACCCCAAGGAAGCUGGCAGGACAGGAGUCCAUGUGAGCUGUACCCCGCAGCUCAGCCACAGACAACAGAUGGCGAAGACAGAGCCUGGGGGUGGAAGGACAGGCUGGUCACACCGCAGACCACAGGGUCAAGAGCCGGGAGAGGCCAGGGGCCUGCGGGCUGGACCUGGGGAAUGAGUUCCCCCUUCCCAAGUCUCAAGCGAUGCCCUUGGAGAGGGUCCCCAGCUUUGCUCUGCUUCCGAAUCCUGAGCGGAGCCUGCAAAGAACACAGAUGUCCAGGCCACACCCAGCAGCAUCUGAAUAAGACACGGAGGUGGGGAGGGAAGGGGCGGCGGAGGGCGGCGGAAGGUGAAUGCUCGCUGCUGCACCCGCUUCCUAGUAGCUCUUUCCUGGGAGAACAACUUCCUGUCCUCACAGCAUAUCUGGAGACUCAGUAUCUGACUUCACCAUGGCCAUGCCCUUGACUCUGAGUGGAACACAUGGGUCGCGUGUCUGGAAUCCAUGUGUGCCCAGCAUCCCGUGAGCUUGGCACUAGAAUGGGCUUUCGGAGAGAGAAUGGCAACUGCAGUCUCUUUUGGUUCCUUAGUAAAUUGGAGGGACCUGAACUUUGCCCAGGCAGGCUUGACAUUCUGUUUAUUCCACACAGCACAGUUCAGGAAGAGACUGAACUCGGCUAAGUCAUCCUUUUGUGACCUUGUAUUUGACGAUUCUAACUGGAGGAUGUUAAGAGUGAGAAGCAGAAGCUCCUAACAACAGGACAGACAAAGGCACUAUGCCGGGGAAAUGCCCAGGGGCCCUUCAUGACCCAGAGCCGGGGAGCCGGGCGCAGGCAGAGGCCGCUGCACAUUCACCACACUCAGGCCAUGUGCCGGCCUCAGGCUUGACAAGCUCAGGCCUUUGGUUAAAGCCUUUCUAGCACAUUGAUAUACUUUCCAUUUACAACCUAUUCUGAAGUGAAGGGCAUUCUACGUGGACAAUAUUCACAGCAAUUCUAGAGACAGGUCUUAUCCUCCCUAUGUCACUCCCAGUCAUUGGUCCCACCUCUAAGAGGAAGACAAAUCUCUUAAUACUCAGCAGACAGCUUCCAAAGUUUGUCUCUCUCCUCUAAGUAUCACUGGGUCUUCUUUUGUUCACAAGAAUGCAGAACAAUGUUCCAAGUACUAUUAUGUUUCUAAACUUUAAGAUUGUUCAUUUUCAAGAAACAAAUAACUAUAACCACGUGACUAUGUAUAACCAAUAACUAUACCCUUGAUAAUAUUUCAACAUACUCCAAAAGGAAACUUUGAGUCCAUUUUACAUUCAGCAAGUUAAUAUUAAACUAUGUGGCACAUCAAAAGCUUUAAAUUAAUAAUGUGUGUUUUAAGUGUUACAAACCACGUCAAGUGUACAUCUAAUAUACGAACCAACAACUGAAAAUACUACGGUUGAGUAGGCUGUGAGUUCCUUGUAGUUAAAUAAAUUAUUACAAAGAGUAUUAUUAUGAAAGGUAUGUGCUAUGCCAAGCACUAACAAGAUGUAGAUGUGGUCACGAGCUAGCUACAGUAAAAUGAAAAGGAAAA